rfam:Streptomyces sp. AcH 505 scaffold00001, whole genome shotgun sequence.
CUUCAGCGACCCCAGCCACAGCGGCCGGUCCUCGGCCCGCCCCUGCCCGUAUGUCGCGAUCAGGGCCUGCGCCUC